rnacentral:rRNA from 1 species
UACGUAGGGGGCAAGCGUUGUCCGGAUUCAUUGGGCGUAAAGAGCGUGUAGGCGGCCAGGUAGGUCGGUUGUGAAAACUGGAGGCUCAACCUUCAGAGGUCGACCGAAACCAUCUGGCUAGAGUCCGGGAGAGGAGAGUGGAAUUCCUGGUGUAGCGGUGAAAUGCGCAGAUAUCAGGAAGAACACCGGUGGCGAAGGCGGAUCUCUGGGCCUUACCUGACGCUCAGGCACGAAAGCUAGGGGAGCGAACAGG